AAGAGGUCCUGGGUUCGAACCAGCCUCUCUGCAUUGCACUUUGCAGGGGUAAGACUAGGUUCCUAUAAUCCCUCCCCAGACCCCACCUUGUGUGGGAGCUUCUAUGCACUGGGUCUGUCCUUUUUUUCAGUUUUCAGCUCCUAGAUGAGAAGGCAAGGAUGUACUUGAGCAAUAUGAGAAGACCCAGUUCCAUUAUCUCAGAAGCCAGAAGUCUCCCAUUUACUGACUUUGGUACUAUUUUUUUAAAGAAUGGUCAAUCCGCUAUCAGCACCACGAUUAUGUGUCAAUUGUAGAUUCUUAAUUGCUUAGAAUUAUUUUAUUUGUUUGAUUCCUUCUGUUGAUAUUUAUUCAACAACAAAAUAUUUUCAAGAUUGGUCGGUGUGAGGAUCAAACAUGUGAAUGGAUGUGGCAUCAAGCUAAGUCUGUUGAUACCUUGCUCACCUUUUUUUGCUUUGAGUGGGUUAUGACUUACUUUCUGAUUGUUGUUUGUGAGAAAAUACCACCUCUGUUUGUCUCUCUGAAUUAUCAUUGGUCAUUGCGACAAGGGUGAUUCAGAGUUGUAGGUUGUAUGACUGGUCUAAUAUGGCAGGUCCCACAAAGAAAACAUACAAGGGAGUUGUUUAGUUCAGAUGUGCACGGGAAUGGGCUCACUGGGAUCUUGGUAGGAGGUGAAUCUUGUGGUCAUGAGCCUGGACAUCACGCUGGUGCGCUUCCUAGGGAGGUGCGUCCGUGCGCUGUGCUUGGAUGGCGAAUCGAGAUGAGGCUUAGUGGCUGCUCGCCUCUCUGAAUCACGGAUACGAAAUUUGGUGGUUGUUCACCUAAUGGAGAUCGAAAAUGGCGUCGAGUUAUUUUAUGGGCUAAUUGUUGUGAGUGCCAACGAUUUCGUUUUGACCAUAUAGGACCAGCCUAUGUCAUUGCCGGUAGCAACGAUAUAACAACCUAAACGUCGGUGAUACCAAAUACUCAUCUGUUCCUAAAUAUACGUCUUUUUAGACAUUUCAAAUAAAUUACAACA